UAUCCUGUUGAAGAACCACAAGUCGGUACCGCAUUGCGCAUGAUUAGGAGAUAAAAAAAAGAUGAUGAUGAAAAGGAUGAUGAUCU
rnacentral:miRNA from 1 species